rnacentral:RNase_P_RNA from 1 species
GAGAGAGGAAGGACGGCCACCGGGUCACCUGACCUGAGGAAAGUCCCCCCACCACCCGGAUACACGAACGCCUGUAGAGGGCGUAGGACGAGAGUCCUGGCAGUUGCCGUCUAAAACCGGUGGCUCACACGGUCUGCCUUAUGGCAGGCUGUAUGAUGGCACAGAAACGAUACCGCUCCGCGUCAAUGCUAUGAUGCUGUAAAGCUGAGGUCGCGCGGGAGGCGGAUGGAACGCGUGAAUCCUCGUGGGUGCAAGCCAAACAGGGGCCAUAUGCCUGUCCGGGGCCGGUCCGGAGUUGGCGCUUAGCCGAAUGCCGUUAUAUGGCGGAUCACAUCCUUAAGGGAAGUGCCGCUAAAACAGAAGGGGGCUUACUCUCCUCACUC